UUCCCCUCCCUCCCAGGCUUGCCGCAUGAAAGCGCUGGGAGGGAGGGAGGGAGGGAGAAGUGAAGCAGCGGCAUGCUCAGGGGAGGAGGCGGAGCGGAGGUGAGCUGGGGCGUGGGGAGGGCCGCAGCAAGUAACCCGGGGGUGGGGCAGAGGAACCGCUCGCCGCCCCAGCUCACCUCCGCUCCACCGCCGCCUCCCCCGCCCCGAGCACGCCACCACUCCGCUUCUACCCCCUCCCUCCCAGGCUUGCCGCAGGAAGCAACUGCCGGUGGGUUCAAAUAAAUUUAUACAAAAACUAAAACAAGUUCAUAUGGGGCUGGGGGUGGCAAUUAUUUCAGGGCCUAGGGGCGUCAAAAUCAUUAAUCUAUCACUGUUUUCAGCCAAAUAAAUAUUUAAAAACCAAAAAAGACAAGCUACUUUACUGGAAAUGCCUGAACAUUUCUGCACAUGACACUGUAGUAGUUCAGUAAAUUACUGGAGCUUUGUCUAAUUAUUAUUCAGUAGUUGUACUUUAUAAUGAGGAAAAAUGUCACAUGAAUAACAUUAAUAUUAAUCAGGAGUGUAUUUUUAGAAAAAAGGUUUACAAAUGAAUCUUCCUUCUAGGCAUGUGUUACUGUCGUCUUUAGUCAUAUCAGAAGCAAGAGCAUUUAAACGGAUAGUGUUAACUCACAAAUUACUUUUAUCUGAAAUAUUUUGUUCCUAUUAAUAUUACAGGAUAUGCCUAAGAUUACUAUAAUUUAAGAGAUAUUGGGGGGGGGGGGAGGAAUCUGUUUUUACUCUGUAUAUUUUAUGCCUUAACAUCACUGUCUUCAUAUCUAGUUUCACUGUUUCUCUUUCUACACUGUAAGAGCCUGAUUCUGCAAAUGCUUAUGCUCAUCCGUAACUUUGCUCAUCUGGGAAGUCGUGGGACUACUCAAAUGAGUAAAGUUACAGACCUGCAUAAGUGUAUGAUCAAGACUUUAGUCAGUUUUUUUGCUGUUAGUGUGGUUUCUUCAUACAUCAGUAGAGGAAAUACAUUUGCUUAUUUUUUUAAAUACUUCUCUAUACCCAAAUCAAAAAUUCUUUUGAAAAAAAUAGAUUAUAAGGUCAUCUGUUUCAAAGGAUUGCUUGUCAACUACU